CUUCUGUUAUAGCAAUAAAUGAGUAAAUAAAAAGGCAAAAUAAAUUGCAUGAACAUAAAAUGAAUGCAAUCAAAUACAUUCUCAAAGAAGCAAAUGAACUCACACACUCGGUAGGGGAAAAUGGUGAAAAACCCCCGAACAAUCCGAAAGAACUUGCGCAGUUUGAACAAUUCCAUUUCUCCUUCCGGUACAACAUUCGUGCAUGCUGUCAGUUUGGGUUCGGGUUUUUGGAUGAUUUUCCACAGCACCCAACGAGCGACGAGCUCUUUGUUUUGUGUUUAUCAUCGCUGUUAUCAUGAUGGCCGUCGGCGUACCAUUGUCGACGUAUUUGAUAGUAACUUUCGAUGACUUUCGAGAGAUACGCUGCAAGGCUUCAAUGGUCGGUGGCUCAUCCUCGGCUGCCAGCACCAUUCAUGGGCCUUUGCUGAUAAGUGCUGCCAAGUUUGAAGUGAUCUGGCACGGGACAGUUUCGAGCAUUGUUUCGGCCUCGCUGCCGAUAUCAUCGCGGUGGGAAAGUGUUUUGUAUCCUUUCCGUUACUAUGAGUGGUUUGUUGUUGAGAGACUGCUUGAAGAUUGAAGAUUUGUUUUCUGCUUAUUACAGCUGCUGUUAGUGAUGAUGACAAGUACAACCCGUGUCCUAUGACCAGCCGAACAAAAAAAAACACCGCUCUGUCGCUGACUUUUCAUUAAAGUUUUGAUAAAUGAUAAACGUUGGAAAGGGACCUCAAAAAUAACAACAGGAACGAAAUCACUAUCAUCGAGCAUCAUCCUCUUGGCUUGGUUUGCAGCUGUGGCACCCUUACCAACGGCAACGGAACACAGAAUGGCUUGGCCGACGACAUUGGAGCGCGGGAAAAUUGUUUUGCUUCUCGGUUGUUGGCACACCCGGUACAAUUUCCGUGGCCGCUGGGUCAGAAGUGAAAAGUCACGCUCUCCUACUGUUGGCGAUUGUUUCAUUUUGCUGUGUUUUUUUUUGUUAGACAUUUUUGACUUGUUUUGGGGUUGUUUGAUUUUUAUUGUUUUCGCAAAAGGAAAGAUAGCAAACGUUAUUUUCCUGUCUGUAUUUUGAUGGCUUUUGAUAGAUGAGAACGUUCUUUUCAGAGUGGGUGGAAGGAAUGCGGGAGGAGUUUUUUUGUGUGCAAUGAUCGGCCUGUUAUUGGUUUAUUGAUUUUUUUUGCAAAGAACACAAAAAUCAUUGUGGCUUCCUGAAGCUGUUGAAGCUUAAGUUUUUUCUUCAGACAUAUAAUGAAUUCUGUUUCGAAAUGCUUUUGCAACUUGAAAAGAGAAAGUUUGUAAGAAGCUUAAACAAAUAUUUAUGAGAAUCUUUAAAAAUUUAUUCUACCGCAUUUAUUGGAUAGGAAAUGAUUUCAUUCGAAUAUAUAGGAAGGAUGAACAAAUUGAAAAUUUGACUAAGGCAGCAAAAUAAUUAUUAACAUUUUGCCAUUUAUAUUUAUAUAGUAAUAAAUAUUUUAUGUAUUUUUUAUUUUAAGCUUAAACUGAACUGUUGAGAUUGAUUUCAACAUCGUUCCAAAUUUAAUCAUUUGUCCCACUUUUAUACCAUGAAACAAAAGCAUGGUCUAAUGGUAUCUUCAUAUCAAAAUAAGGAAGUACAUUAACGCACAAAAAAAUGUCUAAAACGAAGAAAACAUAAAAGCAAAGGAAGUUACGCACAGUAAAACUUACCCCUGGAAGCUGUAUAAAGUCAAUGCAUAGUGCAGCACAACACAUCAUUACAGUAGAAAACAAAACAAAACAAAAAAACUACAGAAAAAAGAAAAAUCUCAGCUGCAAAUGAACUCCCCCAGGGGUGAGAAUUUGCCGCAUCAGUCACUGAGUUUCGAGUUUACACUUAAAAAUGCUGCCAAUAAGAACAGCAGCAAAACGAGCAAAGCGCGCGAGAAAGUUUAUGAAGCUUCGCUGGAACAAAUUUACAUCCAACGCCUUUUUGGCUGACGGGAGUGAAACCGAUGCUUCUAUCCUUCCGACCAUGAUCACCCGUGAUGGGUCGUUUUAUAUUUUAUCCUUUUUUUGUUGGUUUUGUUUUCUUUGUAGCUCCCAUGCAAUGUGGUCUUCCGGACAGCGAGAGAGCUUGUUGUGUGCUGUGUGUUCACCCCACCGGUUGCCUUCGGUUGACCAGCAUUCUUUUACAUUUGAAGCGCUACCGUGGAAGUAAUGGACACCAAGCGAAGUAAGGGAACAUGAUGCACAAAAAAAAAAUAAAGAAGAACUGCACAAGGAAGGAAUUUUCAAUCCUUUAGCAAGCAAUAAAGUGAGAGCUUCUACUUGAAGCCAUUAAAUUUAAAACAAGAUUAUGGUUGAAAUAUUCCCAUAUUUGUGGUAUUCGAAACCAGUGAAAAGGCACAACUUUUUUCAGUUUUUUU